rnacentral:rRNA from 1 species
UACGUAGGGUGCGAGCGUUAAUCGGAAUUACUGGGCGUAAAGCGUGCGCAGGCGGCUUUGCAAGACAGAUGUGAAAUCCCCGGGCUCAACCUGGGAACUGCAUUUGUGACUGCAAGGCUAGAGUACGGCAGAGGGGGAUGGAAUUCCGCGUGUAGCAGUGAAAUGCGUAGAUAUGCGGAGGAACACCAAUGGCGAAGGCAAUCCCCUGGGCCUGUACUGACGCUGAGGCUCGAAAGCGUGGGGAGCAAACAGG